ACAUGCAGUCGAGCGGACAGAUGGGAGCUUGCUCCCUGAUGUUAGCGGCGGACGGGUGAGUAACACGUGGGUAACCUGCCUGUAAGACUGGGAUAACUCCGGGAAACCGGGGCUAAUACCGGAUGGUUGUCUGAACCGCAUGGUUCAGACAUAAAAGGUGGCUUCGGCUACCACUUACAGAUGGACCCGCGGCGCAUUAGCUAGUUGGUGAGGUAACGGCUCACCAAGGCGACGAUGCGUAGCCGACCUGAGAGGGUGAUCGGCCACACUGGGACUGAGACACGGCCCAGACUCCUACGGGAGGCAGCAGUAGGGAAUCUUCCGCAAUGGACGAAAGUCUGACGGAGCAACGCCGCGUGAGUGAUGAAGGUUUUCGGAUCGUAAAGCUCUGUUGUUAGGGAAGAACAAGUGCCGUUCAAAUAGGGCGGCACCUUGACGGUACCUAACCAGAAAGCCACGGCUAACUACGUGCCAGCAGCCGCGGUAAUACGUAGGUGGCAAGCGUUGUCCGGAAUUAUUGGGCGUAAAGGGCUCGCAGGCGGUUUCUUAAGUCUGAUGUGAAAGCCCCCGGCUCAACCGGGGAGGGUCAUUGGAAACUGGGGAACUUGAGUGCAGAAGAGGAGAGUGGAAUUCCACGUGUAGCGGUGAAAUGCGUAGAGAUGUGGAGGAACACCAGUGGCGAAGGCGACUCUCUGGUCUGUAACUGACGCUGAGGAGCGAAAGCGUGGGGAGCGAACAGGAUUAGAUACCCUGGUAGUCCACGCCGUAAACGAUGAGUGCUAAGUGUUAGGGGGUUUCCGCCCCUUAGUGCUGCAGCUAACGCAUUAAGCACUCCGCCUGGGGAGUACGGUCGCAAGACUGAAACUCAAAGGAAUUGACGGGGGCCCGCACAAGCGGUGGAGCAUGUGGUUUAAUUCGAAGCAACGCGAAGAACCUUACCAGGUCUUGACAUCCUCUGACAAUCCUAGAGAUAGGACGUCCCCUUCGGGGGCAGAGUGACAGGUGGUGCAUGGUUGUCGUCAGCUCGUGUCGUGAGAUGUUGGGUUAAGUCCCGCAACGAGCGCAACCCUUGAUCUUAGUUGCCAGCAUUCAGUUGGGCACUCUAAGGUGACUGCCGGUGACAAACCGGAGGAAAGUGGGGGAUGACGUC
rnacentral:rRNA from 1 species